rnacentral:tRNA from 1 species
GCUCUCAUGGUCUAGGGGACAAUGACUCGAGCUUCUCGAGCUCGAAACCCGGGUUCGAAUCCCGGUGGGAGCG